AGGCCCGACUCUUUACCAAAAACAUAGCCUUCAGCCAACAACAAGUAUUGAAGGUGAUGCCUGCCCAGUGACCCCACGUUCAACGGCCGCGGUAUCCUAUCCGUGUGAAGGUAGUGCAAUCAAUUGUCCCAUAAAUUGGGACUUGUAUGAAUGGCUAAACGAGGUCU
rnacentral:ncRNA from 1 species